rnacentral:rRNA from 1 species
UAAUAAGCGGAGGAAAAGAAACUAACCAGGAUUCCCCUAGUAACGGCGAGUGAACGGGGAAAAGCCCAACACCGAAUCCCUUAGCCUAGGCUGACGGGAACUGUGGUGUUAAGGUUGCCCUUCGUGCUAAACUAGUUGUCUCAAGUCCACCUGAUUGUGGCUCAAGCCCAGAGAGGGUGUAAGGCCCGUAGAGACGAUUGGCUUAGUACCCGGGGUAAACCUACGAGUCGGCUUGUUUGGGAAUGCAGGCCAAAGCGGGUGGUAAACUCCAUCCAAGGCUAAAUACUUGCACGAGUCCGAUAGCGGACAAGUACCGUGAGGGAAAGUUGAAAAGAACUUUGAAGAGAGAGUUCAAUAGUACGUGAAACCGCUUAGAGGCAAACGGAUGGUGCUCAAACUGGCUCGGGGAAUUCAGCCGAUGUAGUGGGUUAGAUGAGUAGGCGUACCCUAAUUACAGAUCCCACUUACGGGACUGGCGCUUGCUUUUCACUAGCCUCUACUCGGUGCACUUUCCUCGUUUAGCCUUCGCCACGACCAACGACACUGGCCACCCGCGGCUGGGGUAAGGUGGCAAGCUACCUCGGUAGUUUGCUUUAUAGACCCUGGCGUCGGUUAUUGUUUGGGCAGUACGUUGGAGUUCUAGCGGUGCCCGCUCCUUGUGGGCUCGUAUGCUGGUUAGCUUGACUGUGUCGAUGUAUACACUGGUAACCAGUGUAUGCGACGAUUAUAGUCUAGUCUCUAGCUAGUCUCUGCGAGUUUGGCACCUAUAGUCAGUGGUGUACUUGUGAGUAGACUAUCCGACCCGUCUUGAAACACGGACCAAGGAGUCUAACAUGUGCGCGAGUCAUGGGGAUUUUACGAAACCCAAAGGCGUAGUGAAAGUAAAGGCUUGCAUCUCGCUAGCUUAGGUGGGAUCUCGUGCAUUACGAUUGGCGAGCGCACCACCGGCCCGUCCUAUCUGUCUCUGUCAGUGGGGCGGAGCAAGAGCGUACACGUUGGGACCCGAAAGAUGGUGAACUAUGCUUGCGCAGCUCGAAGUCAGUGGAAACACUGAUGGAGGAGCGCAGCGUUUCUGACGUGCAAAUCGAUCGUCAAACGUGAGUAUAGGGGCGAAAGACUAAUCGAACCAUCUAGUAGCUGGUUCCCUCCGAAUU